AUUGAACGCUGGCGGCAGGCCUAACACAUGCAAGUCGAGCGGAUGAAGGGAGCUUGCUCCUGGAUUCAGCGGCGGACGGGUGAGUAAUGCCUAGGAAUCUGCCUGGUAGUGGGGGAUAACGUCCGGAAACGGGCGCUAAUACCGCAUACGUCCUGAGGGAGAAAGUGGGGGAUCUUCGGACCUCACGCUAUCAGAUGAGCCUAGGUCGGAUUAGCUAGUUGGUGGGGUAAAGGCCUACCAAGGCGACGAUCCGUAACUGGUCUGAGAGGAUGAUCAGUCACACUGGAACUGAGACACGGUCCAGACUCCUACGGGAGGCAGCAGUGGGGAAUAUUGGACAAGGGGCGAAAGCCUGAUCCAGACAUGCCGCGUGUGUGAAGAAGGUCUUCGGAUUGUAAAGCACUUUAAGUGGGGAGGAAGGGCAGUAAGUUAAUACCUUGCUGUUUUGACGUUACCAACAGAAUAAGAACCGGCUAACUUCGUG
rnacentral:rRNA from 1 species